rnacentral:rRNA from 2 species
UGGGGAAUCUUGCACAAUGGGGGAAACCCUGACGCAGCAACGCCGCGUGAAGGAUGAAGGUUUUCGGAUUGUAAACUUCUUUGAUUGGGGACGAUAAUGACGGUACCCAAAAAACAAGCCACGGCUAACUACGUGCCAGCAGCCGCGGUAAUACGUAGGUGGCAAGCGUUGUCCGGAUUUACUGGGUGUAAAGGGCGUGUAGGCGGGGAUGCAAGUCAGAUGUGAAAUUCCGGGGCUCAACCCCGGCGCUGCAUCUGAAACUGUAUCUCUUGAGUGCUGGAGAGGAAAGUGGAAUUCCCAGUGUAGCGGUGAAAUGCGUAGAGAUUGGGAGGAACACCAGUGGCGAAGGCGGCUUUCUGGACGAUAACUGACGCUGAGGCGCGAAAGCGUGGGUAGCAAACAGG